rnacentral:rRNA from 1 species
CCUACGGGAGGCAGCAGUAGGGAAUCUUCCACAAUGGGCGAAAGCCUGAUGGAGCAACGCCGCGUGGGUGAAGAAGGUCUUCGGAUCGUAAAACCCUGUUGUUAGAGAAGAAAGUGCGUGAGAGUAACUGUUCACGUUUCGACGGUAUCUAACCAGAAAGCCACGGCUAACUACGUGCCAGCAGCCGCGGUAAUACGUAGGUGGCAAGCGUUAUCCGGAUUUAUUGGGCGUAAAGGGAACGCAGGCGGUCUUUUAAGUCCGAUGUGAAAGCCUUCGGCUUAACCGGAGUAGUGCAUUGGAAACGGGGAGACUUGAGUGCAGAAGAGGAGAGUGGAAGUCCAUGUGUAGCGGUGAAAUGCGUAGAUAUAUGGAAGAACACCAGUGGCGAAAGCGGCUUUCUGGUCUGUAACUGACGCUGAGGUUCGAAAGCGUGGGUAGCAAACAGGAUUAGAUACCCCUGUAGUC